rnacentral:rRNA from 1 species
AGUGAACGCUGGCGGUAGGCCUAACACAUGCAAGUCGAACGGCAGCACAGUAAGAGCUUGCUCUUACGGGUGGCGAGUGGCGGACGGGUGAGGAAUACAUCGGAAUCUACUUUUUCGUGGGGGAUAACGUAGGGAAACUUACGCUAAUACCGCAUACGACCUACGGGUGAAAGCAGGGGAUCUUCGGACCUUGCGCGAUUGAAUGAGCCGAUGUCGGAUUAGCUAGUUGGCGGGGUGAAGGCCCACCAAGGCGACGAUCCGUAGCUGGUCUGAGAGGAUGAUCAGCCACACUAGAACUGAGACACGGUCCAGACUCCUACGGGAGGCAGCAGUGGGGAAUAUUGGACAAUGGGCGCAAGCCUGAUCCAGCCAUACCGCGUGGGUGAAGAAGGCCUUCGGGUUGUAAAGCCCUUUUGUUGGGAAAGAAAAGCAGCAGGUUAAUACCCCGCUGUUCUGACGGUACCCAAAGAAUAAGCACCGGCUAACUUCGUG